AUUGAACGCUGGCGGCAGGCCUAACACAUGCAAGUCGAACGAGUGGCGGACGGGUGAGUAAUGUCUGGGAAACUGCCCGAUGGAGGGGGAUAACUACUGGAAAAGGUAGCUAAUAACGCAUACCAUCGGAUGUGCCCAGGUGGGAUUAGCUAGUAGGUGGGGUAAUGGCUCACCUAGGCGACGAUCCCUAGCUGGUCUGAGAGGAUGACCAGCCACACUGGAACUGAGACACGGUCCAGACUCCUACGGGAGGCAGCAGUGGGGAAUAUUGCACAAGGGGCGAAAGCCUGAUGCAGCCAUGCCGCGUGUAUGAAGAAGGCCUUCGGGUUGUAAAGUACUGUCGGCGAAGAGGCGUUACUCGCAGAAGAAGCACCGGCUAACUCCGUGCCAGCCGCCGCGGUAAUAC
rnacentral:rRNA from 1 species